GAUGCUUUGGCCGAGUGGUUAGGGCGUGUGCCUGCUAAGUUCAUGGGGUUUCCCCACGAGAGUUCAAAUCUCUCAAGUGUCG
rnacentral:tRNA from 1 species